rnacentral:rRNA from 1 species
UUGAACGCUGGCGGCAUGCCUUACACAUGCAAGUCGAACGGCAGCGCGGGAGCAAUCCUGGCGGCGAGUGGCGAACGGGUGAGUAAUACAUCGGAACGUGCCCAAUCGUGGGGGAUAACUACGCGAAAGCGUAGCUAAUACCGCAUACGAUCUACGGAUGAAAGCAGGGGAUCGCAAGACCUUGCGCGAAUGGAGCGGCCGAUGGCAGAUUAGGUAGUUGGUGAGGUAAAGGCUCACCAAGCCUUCGAUCUGUAGCUGGUCUGAGAGGACGACCAGCCACACUGGGACUGAGACACGGCCCAGACUCCUACGGGAGGCAGCAGUGGGGAAUUUUGGACAAUGGGCGCAAGCCUGAUCCAGCAAUGCCGCGUGCAGGAUGAAGGCCUUCGGGUUGUAAACUGCUUUUGUACGGAACGAAAAGGCUCUCUCUAAUACAGGGGGCGUCAUGACGGUACCGUAAGAAUAAG